AUUGAACGCUGGCGGCAGGCUUAACACAUGCAAGUCGAACGAGUGGCACACGGGUGAGUAAUGCUUGGGACUCUAGCUUAUGGAGGGGGAUAACUACGGGAAACUGUAGCUAAUACCGCGUACCAUAGGAUGACCCCAAGUGGGAUUAGGUAGUUGGUGAGGUAAAGGCUCCACAAGCCGACGCGCUCUAGCUGGUAGGAGAGGAUGACCAGCCACACUGGGACGGAGACACGGCCCAGAUUCCUCCGGGAGGCAGCAGUGGGGAAUAUUGCGCAAUGGGGGCAACCUGACGCAGCCAUGCCGCGUGAAUGAAGAAGGCCUUCGGGUUGUAAAGUUCUUUCGGUAGCGAGGCGUUAACUACAGAAGAAGCACCGGCUAACUCCGUGCCAGCAGCCGCGGUAAUUC
rnacentral:rRNA from 1 species